rnacentral:rRNA from 1 species
ACGUAGGGUGCAAGCGUUGUCUGGAAUUAUUGGGCGUAAAGAGCUCGUAGGCGGUCCGUCACGUCGGCUGUGAAAACCUGGGGCUCAACCCCGGGCCUGCAGCCGAUACGGGCGGACUAGAAUUCGGUAGGGGAGACUGGAAUUCCUGGUGUAGCGGUGAAAUGCGCAGAUAUCAGGAGGAACACCGGUGGCGAAGGCGGGUCUCUGGGCCGAUAUUGACGCUGAGGAGCGAAAGCGUGGGGAGCGAACAGGA